rnacentral:sRNA from 1 species
ACACUCACUCACACACAAUGUGCCAUCCUGACAAGGCUUUUACUUCUGAUAAGCUCCAAUGUGUGUUUAAUGAAUACAAAGCCGCGGUCUGGGUGCCGCCUCGGCCGCGGCCGCUCUCCCGCGCUCCUUUGCCAGAAGCUGGCGGAGAGAAUUUACAUUUAAAGAUUAGCAGAGUGAGAAAGAGAAAUCUGCCUUUUGUUGUGUGGGGUGAGGAGGAGGCAUCUACCCUGGCCUUGACGCUAUCUCCCAUCACCUCUGCUAUCCAGACAGGACUCACCGAGUAUCAAAUGAUAAGAACCGAGCACAUUGGAUGAAAUAAUACUUGCACUGGGAGCACUAAGAAAAGAUUGAUCUCUGGGCUGGUGAACAUAAUCUCUGUCCCAGUCAGAAAAGGAGAGAGGAAAUUAGCAGAGCGAUUGGUGGAGAAUGAUAUCUGUCAAAAGAAACACUUGGAGAGCACUGAGUUUAGUAAUAGGUGACUGCCGGAAAAAAGGGAACUUUGAAUAUUGUCAAGAUAAACCCCACUUGAAAAACUGAGGUGCUUAA